GUCUCUUUUGCUUUGGGGCAGACAAGGUGGAGCCUCCUCUCGAUAUCAUGCUGUUCUCAUUGAACUGCACAGCUUUCAGCAUCCAGUGGAGAAUGCCGAGGCAUCCCAGGAGCCCCGUCAUUGGCUAUACUGUCUUCUACUCCGAGGUCGGCGUGGAUAAAUCCCUGCAGGAGCGGUCGCAUCCUGUGCUGCUCAGCCAGGACUCUGCGGCCCUGGAACAGUCUGAUCAUCGGGUGAUUUUUG